rnacentral:rRNA from 1 species
GGAGUUAGCCGGUGCUUCUUCUGUGAGUGAUGUCCUUCCUGCCGGUUAUUGACCCGCAGGCCUUCUUCCUCACUGAAAGUGCUUUACAACCCGAAGGCCUUCUUCACACACGCGGCAUGGCUGGAUCAGGGUUGCCCCCAUUGUCCAAUAUUCCCCACUGCUGCCUCCCGUAGGAGUCUGGGCCGUGUCUCAGUCCCAGUGUGGCUGAUCAUCCUCUCAGACCAGCUACGGAUCGUCGCCUUGGUGAGCCGUUACCUCACCAACCAGCUAAUCCGACAUAGGCUCAUCCGAUAGCGCGAGGCCCGAAGGUCCCCCGCUUUCCCCCGUAGGGCGUAUGCGGUAUUAGCCUGGGUUUCCCCAGGGUUAUCCCCCACUACCGGGCAGAUUCCUAUGCAUUACUCACCCGUCCGCCGCUCGCCACCAGGGAGCAAGCUCCCCGUGCUGCCGCUCGACUUGCAUGUGUUAGGCCUGCCGCCAGCGUUCAAUCUGAGCCAGAUCAAACUCUGA